GAGGGCAUAGCUCAGUGGUAGAGCGCAUGCUCAGCAUGCACAAGGGGCUGGGUUCAAUCCCUAAUGCCUGCA
rnacentral:tRNA from 1 species